UACGAGGGGGGUGAGCGUUGUUCGGAAUUAUUGGGCGUAAAGGGUGCGUAGGCGGUUUGGUAAGUCUUAUGUGAAAUCUACAGGCUCAACUUGUAGUCUGCAUGAGAAACUGCCGGGCUUGAGUAUGGGAGAGGUGAGUGGAAUUCCUGGUGUAGCGGUGAAAUGCGUAGAUAUCAAGAGGAACACCUGAGGUGAAGACGGGUUGCUGGGCUGACACUGACGCUGAGGCGCGAAAGCCAGGGGAGCAAACGGG
rnacentral:rRNA from 1 species